CCACCUCCCGCGGCCCGCCGCCCCUCCCGCUCGGAAUCGGUGGUCCUCUCGCGGCCCGGUGGCCCGCCCGCGCGAGCCUCCUCCCUCGUCGUGCACUGCUCGGGAGCCCAUUGCUCCCGGCGCCCCUCCUCCCGCGCUGCUCGGCUGCCGCUGCCCAUCGUCCCGCGCUUCUCAGCCUGGUGCCGCCCCUCCUCCCGCACUAUGGACUUCGAGGACUGGUUACAGCAAACGGAGAUGGAGCAAGAUGAACAUAAUGGAGAUGGAGCUAGACGAUCUGGAGGACUUCACCCUCCUGACGAUGUCCAUGGGGGGUCCCCAGGUGCCUCGCGAAAGGGUGCCUCGCCAAAUCGUGCCUCGUGAUCACCAUGAAGGAUACCGUCGGAUAUGGGCAGACUCCUUCGCUCUCCAGCCGGUGUAUGGCGACCGGCUGUUUCGACAACGUUGCGUCGCAUGCAUGUGUAACAUAAUGUGUCUGCGGUUUCAUGGCGAGUGAACUAAUACUUCCUGUCUUUGACUCCGCAGCUUCCGUAUGCGACGGCAUGUGUUCCUUCGGAUUGUCGACGUGGUGCAGAGUGUGGAUCCUUAUUUCAUCCAGCGUCCGGACUGCACAGGCCUUAUGGGAAUAUCUGCCUUGCAGAAGUGCGUGGCCGCCAUUCGCAUCCUGUCUUACGGAUUACCAGCCAAUGCGGUCGACGAGUAUGUGCGUAUCGGUCCCUCGACAGCUCAAGAGGCCUUGAAGCAUUUCUGUCGAGCAGUCAUCGAUGCAUUUGGUGGAUACUAUCUGCGAGCGCCAAAUGAAGAGGAUGUCCGCUGCCUCGUCGAGGAAGGUGAACAACGGGGAUUCCCGGGAAUGCUUGGCAGCAUAGACUGCAUGCAUUGGACGUGGCAUAAUUGCCCAUCAUCGUGGAAGGGCAUGUUCACCGGCCGUGGGAAGUCACCUUCUAUGAUUCUAGAGGCUGUGGCGUCCAGGAACCUAUGGAUUUGGCAUGCUUACUUUGGAAUGCCAGGUAGCUGCAACGACAUCAACGUUCUUAACAGAUCGAGUCUCUUUGACCGCUUCACGCAGGGGACCUCGACGCCGGUGAACUUCACAGUCAAUGGGCAUUCAUACAACAUGGGAUAUUACCUGGCAGAUGGAAUCUACCCAGACUGGCCCGCAUUUGUGAAGACCGUCCGUCAGCCGAUGGAGAUGAAGACUCGCCUCUUCGCCGCAAAACAGGAGGGUGCUCAGAAGGAUAUUGAGAGAGCAUUUGGUGUGCUUCAGGCCCGGUGGGCAGUGAUUCGUGGGCCGGCCUAUCCAUGGGACAGGGACGAGGUGCGGGAUAUGAUGACCGCAUGCAUAAUUAUGCAUAACAUGAUCAUCGAGGACGAGGGUGACAGGGCAACGAACACCAUCUUUGAAAAUCCCGGGCAGCAUGUCGACCUAUCAACGGGGAACUUGGGGGACCGACAUGCUUUUGUUCAAGCACAUCACCGGCUACAAGAUCGUGAUGUCCAUUUUCGCCUGCAGUCGGACCUAAUUGUGCAUAAUUGGAACCUACAUGGGUCGAGGGUUACCAGUGCGACGGAUGUGCCACAUGUGUGACCCCAUGCACGGCACACCCAAUUACAUGAGCUAAGAAGGUUGCUAAUGGUAAUGGGAAGGCUGGGCCAUCUGCAUCUUCAGUUCAGGAAUAUGUGGAUAUGGGUUUCCCGGAGGAGAUGGUUCUGAAGGCCAUGAAGGAUAAUGGGGAUAACGGGGCAGAUUCAUUAAUUGUACUUCUU